rnacentral:tRNA from 1 species
GAGAAAGAAGCAUAAGUGGCUUAGUAUGCGGUUGGCUUGAAACCAGCGUAUGAGGGUUCGAUUCCUUCCUUUCUUG